GGAGCCUACUGUCCCACCCUCAAGUUUUGAUUCUCUUCCUUGACACCUGCUAAUAUGCAAAUCUAUGCUCGAAGAAAUGAAACAAAUUUUUGCUCUUAUGGCAAAGUAAACAGAGAAGUUCAAGUGUACUACCCACCAAGAGGUUUGUUCAAGAAAUCUAGGGCAGAGACUGCUAUGGCUCAUAAGGUUGAAUUUUAUAGAAGAGGAACUACAAGAGAUCUUUGAUAGCAACACUUCCCAAUCCUCAUGGACUUCCAAACUUGCAAGAAAGAAAAAGCCUCUGUGGAGGGUAAUUAAGAUAUGGGGGUGGAGAUUUAUUAAAAGAAAGAGGUAAGCAUGCUUUAUGUUUUGUAACGUAACUUAACUAUUUUGUUUCAGGAAUCACAUGUACUUAGGAAUGUUGCUUUAACUAUCCUGCAAUGGUAGCCAUUGAAAAGCUAUUUUGUGCGAUCUGCUUAGACAUAUGUUUUAGGAAUCGUGUUGAAAUGUACUUAGGAACUUGAUACUUUGUUACGUUUACUAUCCUACAAUUAUGGUAGACAUUGAAAAGCUAUUUUUUUUCAAUCCGCUUAGACUUAUGUUAUAGGAAUCAUGUUGUUUUGUAAUGGCUUUGGAGGA